rnacentral:rRNA from 1 species
ACACAUGCAAGUCGAACGAUGAAGGAGGAGCUUGCUCCUCCGGAUUAGUGGCGAACGGGUGAGUAACACGUGAGCAAUGUGCCCUUGACUCUGGAAUAAGCGCUGGAAACGGCGUCUAAUACCGGAUACGACCUUCGGAGGCAUCUCCUGGAGGUGGAAAGAACUUCGGUCAAGGAUCAGCUCACGGCCUAUCAGUUAGUUGGUGAGGUAAUGGCUCACCAAGACGACGACGGGUAGCCGGCCUGAGAGGGUGACCGGCCACACUGGGACUGAGACACGGCCCAGACUCCUACGGGAGGCAGCAGUGGGGAAUAUUGCACAAUGGGCGCAAGCCUGAUGCAGCAACGCCGCGUGAGGGACGACGGCCUUCGGGUUGUAAACCUCUUUUAGCAGGGAAGAAGCGAAAGUGACGGUACCUGCAGAAAAAGCACCGGCUAACUACGUGCCAGCAGCCGCGGUAAUACGUAGGGUGCAAGCGUUGUCCGGAAUUAUUGGGCGUAAAGAGCUCGUAGGCGGUUUGUCACGUCUGCUGUGAAAUCCCGAGGCUCAACCUCGGGCUUGCAGUGGGUACGGGCAGACUAGAGUGCGGUAGGGGAGAUUGGAAUUCCUGGUGUAGCGGUGGAAUGCGCAGAUAUCAGGAGGAACACCGAUGGCGAAGGCAGAUCUCUGGGCCGUAACUGACGCUGAGGAGCGAAAGCAUGGGGAGCAAACAGGCUUAGAUACCCUGGUAGUCCAUGCCGUAAACGUUGGGAACUAGAUGUGGGGACCAUUCCACGGUCUCCGUGUCGUAGCUAACGCAUUAAGUU